rnacentral:rRNA from 1 species
UACAGAGGUCCCAAGCGUUGUUCGGAUUCACUGGGCGUAAAGGGCUCGUAGGUGGCCAACUAAGUCAGACGUGAAAUCCCUCAGCUUAACUGGGGAACUGCGUCUGAUACUGGAUGGCUUGAGUUUGGGAGAGGGAUGCGGAAUUCCAGGUGUAGCGGUGAAAUGCGUAGAUAUCUGGAGGAACACCGGUGGCGAAGGCGGCAUCCUGGACCAACACUGACACUGAGGAGCGAAAGCCAGGGGAGCAAACGGG